UACAGAGGGUGCGAGCGUUGUUCGGAAUUAUUGGGCGUAAAGGGCGCGUAGGCGGCGCGGUAAGUCACCUGUGAAAUCUCCCGGCUCAACUGGGAGCUUGCAGGCGAAACUGCCGUGCUCGAGUAUGGGAGAGGUGCGUGGAAUUCCUGGUGUAGCGGUGAAAUGCGUAGAUAUCAGGAGGAACACCUGUGGCGAAAGCGGCGCACUGGACCAUAACUGACGCUGAGGCGCGAAAAGCUAGGGGGAGCAAACAGG
rnacentral:rRNA from 1 species